GCUUUGGGUGCUGACGGUGGGGGU
rnacentral:piRNA from 1 species